AAUAAUUGUGUUUGCUCGCAAACGAAAAAAAAACCGACUUCAAUUACAUCGAAGAGUAAUACAACGUAGAUCGACGAAAAAAUAGUAAUACUUUGUUCGUAUUCCAUAUAACGCGACAUUAUAAAAUUGUAGAAUUAUAUAAUGUUCUACUGUUAUUUCUAACAUUUUGUUAGCGAUUGUAGGCAGAAAUUUCAUAAAAGGCCCGUCGUCGAUUCGCGCGAAGCGCUGACAUCGCUUAUUACGGCGGGUUUUUUAGUUGAAGCGGAUUUAUAUUGAAUUACGGUUUAUGUCUUUUUUAUUAAAAAUAUGUAAUGUUCAUGUUUUCACACAGCUCCGAUGCACGACUGGAGUUUACCCCUUCAGAUCAACUGUCUAAAUAGGCACAAAAAGGCUUACUAGUCUAAGAAAUAUAUUAUUACUAUAUCAAAUUGUAAAUAAAUGAAUGCAAUAACGCCAUCUAUCGGAACCUAAUUGCGUUAUUAGAAAACGUCUGAACGCCAUCUCUAACAAGGUCAUUCGUUCAGUAGAUUUUACUGUUCAAUUUUUUCAUUCCGGGGCCUUAAAUGAAAAUCGAUUCUUAAGGAGAAAACUCCAAAAACAGUCAAGUAAAUACGCCAUAUCAGAUAUAGCUCAAAAAGUUCGAGUCAAAUCUCAAUUAUAUUUAAAUGGGACCACAUGACAAGCACCACCUAUCGAUUAAAAAAAGAAUCAUCGAUAUCGGUCCACCCAGUAAAAUAGUAAUGAGGUUAAUAUAACGUUGGUCGACGUAAAAUAGCCAAGUAAAUACCCAGUAUUAGCGAUAACUCAAAAAUUAAAAGCUCAAAUAUAUUUAUAACGAAUAAACUGCUACUCUCUACUCUAGUGGAAUAUUGUAAUUUGGUCGAUAGUGAACGAAGUAAUUUCAUUACAUUUUGAUAGAUGGCGUUGUGGCAAAGUAUUGAACAUGACCACAGUCGUCUUAACAUCGUCAUGUAAAUACGUGUCAUCAAAGAUUACUCAAAAAUUGCUCAUUAUAUCUCAAUCAUAUUUAAAACGGACGACAUGACAAGUAUUAGCUUUUGAUUUAUACAAAAAAGAUCAAAAUCAGUGCACCCAGUAAAAAGAUAUAACGUAUAAUACAACGUAGGGUGACGAAAAUAAUGUCAAGUAAAUACGCGUUAUCAAAGAUUAAUCAAAAAGUAGUUAUCAGAUCUCGAUAAAAUUUAUAUGUGACCACAUGAUAAACAUCAGCUUUCGAUUAAAGUAAAAAUUAUCAAAAUCGAUACACCCAGUAAAAAGUUAUUGCGGAUUUUCAAGAGUUUCUCUCGAUUUCUCUAGGAUCCCAUCAUCAGAUCCUAGUUUCCUUAUCAUGGUACCAAACUAGGGAUAUUCCCUUUCCAACAAAAAAAGAAUUAUCAAAAUCGGUACACCCAGUAGAAAGUUAUGUGGUAUAAUACAACGUAGGUCGACGAAAAAAGCGUCAAGUAAAAACGCAUUAUUAGAUAUAAUUCGAAAAGUAGUUGUUAGAUCUCAAAUAAAUUUAAAUGGGACCAAUCGGCACACACCACCUUUCGAUUAAAACAAAAUUUGUCGAAAUCGGUCUACCUGGUCAAAAGUUCUGAUGUAACAUACAUAAAAAAAA
rnacentral:misc_RNA from 1 species